ACCAGGCAUGGUGGCUCAUGCCUGUACUCUCAGCACUUUGGGAGGCUGAGGUGGGAGGAUCGCUUGAGCCCAGGAGUUCAAGGGUGCAGUGAGCUACGAUAGCACCACUGCACUCAAGCCUGGGCAACAGAGCGAGACCCUGUCUCUG
rfam:Homo sapiens chromosome 9, GRCh38 reference primary assembly.